rnacentral:rRNA from 1 species
AACAAACGCUGGCGGCGUGUCUUAAGCAUGCAAGUUGAGCGGCAAGGAGGAGAGAUCCUCCCUAGAGCGGCGGACUGGUGAGUAACGCGUGGGUAAUCUAUCGUAGGCAUGGGGGAUAGUCACUAGAAAUAGUGGGUAAUACCGAAUACGUUCCAUGAGGGAGUAUUCAUGGAAGAAAGGGUGCUACGGCACUGGCCUUAGGUGAGCUCGCGUCCCAUUAGCUAGUUGGUGAGGUAAAGGCCCACCAAGGCGAUGAUGGGUAGCCGGCCUGAGAGGGUGUACGGCCACACUGGGACUGAGAUACGGCCCAGACUCCUACGGGAGCAGCAGCUAAGAAUAUUCCGCAAUGGACGAAAGUCUGACGGAGCGACGCCGCGUGGAUGAAGAAGGCCGAAAGGUUGUAAAGUUCUUUUGCUAGGGGAGAAUAAGUGAGGGAGGGAAUGCCCUCAUGAUGACAAGGACUAGCGAAUAAGCCCCGGCAACUACGUGCCAGCAGCCG